UCGGGAAUUUUGGGCAAUGGGCGAAAGCCUGGCCCAGCAACGCCGCGUGAAGGAUGAAGUAUUUCGGUAUGUAAACUUCGUAAGAAUAGGAAGAAUAAAUGACGGUACUAUUUGUAAGGUCCGGCUAACUACGUGCCAGCAGCCGCGGUAAUACGUAGGGACCAAGCGUUGUUCGGAUUUACUGGGCGUAAAGGGCGCGUAGGCGGUGUGUCAAGUCAGUUGUGAAAUCUCCGAACUUAACUCGGAACGGUCAACUGAUACUGUCACACUAGAGUACAGAAGGGGCAAUCGGAAUUCUUGGUGUAGCGGUGAAAUGCGUAGAUAUCAAGAGGAACACCUGAGGCGAAGGCGGGUUGCUGGGCUGAUACUGACGCUGAGGCGCGAAAGCGUGGGGAGCAAACAGGAUUAGAUACCCUAGUAGUCCCUGAGCGGGCUGGCAAGGCGCAU
rnacentral:rRNA from 1 species